rnacentral:rRNA from 1 species
GAUGAACGCUGGCGGCGUGCCUAACACAUGCAAGUCGAGCGGAGAAUUGUUGCUUGCCACAAUUCUUAGCGGCGGACGGGUGAGUAACACGUGGGUAACCUGCCCUAAACAAAGGGAUAACAAUGAGAAAUCAUUGCUAAUACCGUAUAAGCUUACACUAUCGCAUGAUAGAGUAAGAAAAGAUUUAUCGGUUUAGGAGGGGCCCGCGACUGAUUAGCUAGUUGGAGAGGUAACGGCUCACCAAGGCGACGAUCAGUAGCCGACCUGAGAGGGUGAUCGGCCACAUUGGGACUGAGACACGGCCCAAACUCCUACGCGAGGCAGCAGUGGGGAAUAUUGCACAAUGGAGGAAACUCUGAUGCAGCGACGCCGCGUGAAGGAAGAAGGUUUUCGGAUCGUAAACUUCUAUCUACAGGGAAGAAAAAAAUGACGGUACCUGAGUAAGAAGCCCCGGCUAACUACGUG